rnacentral:rRNA from 1 species
UACGGGGGGCGCAAGCGUUGUCCGGAAUUAUUGGGCGUAAAGAGCUCGUAGGCGGUUUGUUGCGUCGGCUGUGAAAUCCCGAGGCUCAACCUCGGGUCUGCAGUCGAUACGAGCAAACUAGAGUGUUGCAGGGGAGACUGGAAUUCCUGGUGUAGCGGUGAAAUGCGCAGAUAUCAGGAGGAACACCGGUGGCGAAGGCGGGUCUCUGGGCAACAACUGACGCUGAGGAGCGAAAGCGUGGGGAGCGAACAGG